GACGAACGCUGGCGGCGUGCCUAACACAUGCAAGUCGAGCGAGUGAAUUUCCUUCGGGAUUGAAGCUAGCGGCGGACGGGUGAGUAACACGUGGGCAACCUGCCUCAUAGAGGGGAAUAGCCUUUCGAAAGGAAGAUUAAUACCGCAUAAGAUUGUAGCUUCGCAUGAAGUAGCAAUUAAAGGAGUAAUCCGCUAUGAGAUGGGCCCGCGGCGCAUUAGCUAGUUGGUGAGGUAACGGCUCACCAAGGCGACGAUGCGUAGCCGACCUGAGAGGGUGAUCAGCCACAUUGGGACUGAGACACGGCCCAGACUCCUACGGGGGGCAGCAGUGGGGAAUAUUGCACAAUGGGGGAAACCCUGAUGCAGCAACGCCGCGUGAGUGAUGACGGCCUUCGGGUUGUAAAGCUCUGUCUUCAGGGACGAUAAUGACGGUACCUGAGGAGGAAGCCACGGCUAACUACGUGCCAGCCGCCGCAGUAA
rnacentral:rRNA from 1 species